GUGCUCUUGCCUACAGCACAUGUAAUAGAAUUGAUGUGAUACUGAGAAGAUUAGCGUGAGGAUGACAUGGAAAUUUGUUAAGCAUUCCAUAGUUUA
ensembl:snRNA U6 U6 spliceosomal RNA